rnacentral:rRNA from 1 species
AUGCCACGGAGCUCGUCAAGGUGCCCUCCCGUCCCUCUUCACCUCCAUGUGUCUGUCUAUUCGAUUUGGUCCUCUGAUUCAACUUUCUCACACACGGGGAUGGCUGUUGUGCUCUGUUCGUGUUCGCGCUCGUGCAACUCCCUCUCUGCUGCAGGAGGAUUGGAUUGGAUUGGUUUCUACUUCUAUUCUCUGUUUGAGAACCUGAGAUGCAGCCCUCCAAAUCUUAGGCCCCAGAAGGAGGAUUUGAGAGUGGAGAGCCUGAAUGUGAUUUGGUGGAAGGAGUUGUCCAAGAAUCAAAUUGUUAUUAUUUUACUGUUCUGCAAGAGAGAAUCUAAAGAUUAUUUGUUUCUUUUUAUGCUUGCAAAUCGUGUUUGCUGUUCGGGAUUCACACCCUGCAUUGAUAAGGUCUGA